GAUGAAGACGCAGCGAAAUGCGAUAAGUAAUGUGAAUUGCAGAAUUCAGUGAAUCAUCGAGUCUUUGAACGCACAUUGCGCCCCCUGGUAUUCCGGGGGGCAUGCCUGUCCGAGCGUCAUUGCUGCCCUCAAGCACGGCUUGUGUGUUGGGCCGCCGUCCCCGGUUUCCCCCGGGGACGGGCCCGAAAGGCAGCGGCGGCACCGCGUCCGAUCCUCGAGCGUAUGGGGCUUUGUCACCCGCUCUGUAGGCCCGGCCGGCGCCAGCCGACACCCAACUUUAUUUCUAAGGUUGACCUCGGAUCAGGUAGGGAUACCCGCUGAACUUAAGCAUAUCAAUAAGCGGAGGA
rnacentral:misc_RNA from 1 species